CUAGAAGGCAAGACAAUGUCUUACUGUUCUUUGCAUCUGUCCUAGUGCCCAGCUUCAUGCCAGGCAUAUGGCAGGUGUUUCAUCGAAGUUUGUUGAACUAAAGAACCAAGUUAUGACAAAAGAGCCUGAAGCAGGAGAGAGAUCGAGAGCAAGUGCUAGAAAAGAGCUCUUGCAGAUGAAAAUACUCCCAUUAGAGAGACAGAAAGCUGCAGCAUGAUGCAUGGCCGGCAUUUUGCAGAACAGGAUGGAAGCAAGCAAGACUUUCUAGGCUGUACAUCAUUGGAUAAAGACCUAGAAAUCAAAGAUGUACCUUAAGUACAAACUUUUGGGCAAACGCAUCAGCAAAGCUCAAGACUCAGUGGAAAGAUACUGGAAGAAACAGCAGACAUCCCAUCACCAGUGCUGCACAUGUGACUGGAGUGCAGGAUUCACAGAGGCAGGUGAAGACUGUCCCAGACAAGGGGUUGGUGAUCACCAAUUUCCUCGUAAUUAUAGAGGACAUUUAUUCAAGGUUGACUGUGCACCAGGGGCUAUGAUAGUGCUCUGCACACCCAAUCCAUACUUACUCCAACUUGAUCCAAGACAACCCUGUGAGGUGGCUAUUGUUACUAUCUGAGUUGUACCAAUAAAGAUAGUGAGAUGUAGAGAAGUACAUUAACUAUCCAAGAUUUCAUGGCCAGAACUCAAAUAUGUCUGUCUAACUGCCCUGCUCGUAACUACUACACUCUACCACUUCCUUAUGGAGGACCAGGAAACAGAGCAGCACCAUCACUGAUGCUUCUGAUCUGUGGUGUGCAGGUAUUUAUAGUAUUCUGUCUAGCUGUAAGUCAUACAGUAUGGUUUUUAUUCCAGAGUGGAGUCAGUCACUUGAAAAAAAGUCCUUUGUCCUUUCAUAAAAUAUACCUGCAAAACAAUACCUGCAAUACUCCUGCAGAUAAAAAACAAAUAUAAAAAUUUCAGCAAGUACCUGGAAACCACAAAAAUUGGGACAUUGCUUAUUUGCAAGAGAAUCAACUAGAAAUGCUGGAAUUGAAAAAUGUAAUAAUGAAAAUUAAGGGCCCAAAUGUUUGAUUUAGCAGCAGGGAAAGGAUGGAAAAUAUGAGAGAAAGAUCCUUAAAUAUACAGGUUUAGCAUGCAUUUAAUUGGAGUCCCAGAGGGAGAGGAGAGAACGAAAAGGUAGAGGUUAUCACUUAUUUCAUUGAUGUGGAGAUGCAUAUUAUUUUUCACACUUUCUCUUUUCUGAAAUCGGGAUGUGUCUUAAACUUCAAGGCAUCUUUGGCUGAAGCUGAGCUGCAGUGAUCUAUCAUCAUCGCCUGUGCAUAUGUAAAUAUCAAAAGUGCAAACAUUAGAACUUUCAGAACGGGGUCAGUGGCUUGGAGGAAAAUCCCGGAGACAGUAGUGGAGCACUCUUCACCUUCUAGGAAACAAAUGGUUAUGGGGAGGGGGUAAAGGAGAUCAGUGAGACACGUUUAACAACAUUCUCUAAGAAGUCAGGAGUAGGCUAGCUCUACAUAAUUUCAAAGCCAGAUUAAGAGCUCAUCACUGAUGGCUUUUAGUUCCUUUACGGAAUCUUUGAGGAAAUGCUGUAUACAGAACAGGAGCCAAAAAGUGGUUCAGAAGACUUGGAUUCUUCAUGGGAAGAAGUUUUAGGAAAACCUACGUGAGUAAUUUAUUUCGCUUAUAUUUUCCUUGUUGGGUAUUGUGAUGGUUAAUUUUAUUUGUCAACUUGGCUGGACCACAGCCAACAUUACUCUGGAUGUUUCUGUGAAGGUGUUUUUGGAUAAGAUUUACAUUUAAACUGGUAGACAUGGAGUAAAGUAGAUUGCCCUCCAUAAUGUGCGUGCGCCUCAUCCAAUCCACUGAAGGUCUGAAUAGAACAAAAGGCUGACUUGUGCUAAGCAAGAAGGAAUUCUCCAGCAGACAGCCUUUGGACUCGAGCUGUAACUCUCCAGAGCCUGUAGCUUGCCGGCCUCCCCCGUCAGAUUUUGGAAUCACAUGAGCUAAUUCCUUAAAACAAACCUCUUUCUUUCUCUCUAUACAUACACAUUCUAUUCGUCCUGAUUCUCUGGAGAACUCUAAUACAGGUAUGAACAAUGAUAUGUAACACAAUUUUAUCUAAUAAAAAGAACUUCUACAACAAGUAUAAGACAAAAAUUCUAAAUGAUGGGUGUAUUUCAGAGUUUAUUUAAUUGGAGAUGGGUUUCUUUUUUCUUUUUUGGUUACCAUAAAUGAAUGGUGCAAGUUAUAACUGGUGGUGUCAUGAACAUGAUGAAAUACAGUAGUUGAAGAGAAAACCUGAAAAUUUUUCCUAACUGAUAUAAUACGUAGAUUCAAGACGUUCAGUGACUUCUAUACAGGAUAAAACAAAACAAAACAAAAGAAAUCCACACCCAAAUAUAGUGAAACUGUAGAAAGCCAAAGAUAAAGAGAAACUAUUAACAACAUCCAGAGAAAAAAAGACAGAUUGUCUUUAAAAGAGCAAUAGUAGGCUUGACAUUGACUACUGAGCUAAAACUGAAACCAAUGGAAUGAGGUCACCAACAUGCUGAAGGAAAACACUUGGCAACCCAGAACUCUGUAACUAGUUAAAUAUUCAUCAAGACGAAAGGCGGACUGGAUGAAGGUGGUCAAAAGGCACAAAGUUCCAGUUACAAGAUGAGUCGGUCCUGGGAUGUAAGGUACAGCAGAGCGACUAUAGUUGACAGUCCUGUACGGGGUCUGUGAAAGUUGCUGAGAGAGUAGAUCUCAAAAGUUCUCAUCACAAGAAAAAAAAUGUAACAACAUGAGGCGACGGAUGUACACUAGACUUGUGGUAAUCAUUUCACAAUAUACACAUAUACACAUCAUUGUGUUGUACACCCAGAACUACUACAAGGUUACAUGUCAGUUAUGCAUCAAUUAAAAAAAUAAGUAAAGGUGGGAUAAAGACAGACUCAGAUAAGUAAAAACUCACAGAAUUUGCAAGUGGAACUGCACUAAAGUGGGGUUUUCAGGCCAAAGAAAGAGUCCCUCAUGGGAGCAAGAAGAUAUAGGAGGAACGAAAAGCAACCAAAAUGUAAA
rnacentral:lncRNA from 1 species